UUCCCACAGUUGACAAUGAAUGUCAGAGCAAAAAACCAAGUUAUGAGGUAGAAGGCAUUGUCCGGAGAGUGCGAUUCUGAUGAAAGGCAGCAAAGUCUCGAUCUCGUCAGGAAGACUCUGAGCAGCUGCGGUUGAAACCGAAAGCCAAAGAGGAGCUGUUUCAGUUGAGAUCGAAGGAAGCUAACCUGAUGGCACUGGCAAUUGUCGGCCCCAGGAAGAUGAGGAAAAUGGAGGCUGCAGCCGCUGGAGCGGAGAACAUGGGCUCUGGGUCAUAUCCCUCUGCGUCUGGUAGUGCUAGUUCUGGAGCGUCCAGACAAUUUACCCGCCAGAGCAUCACUCGUGUCGACCCCAGGGACAUGCUCUUCUGUCUGGAGAAUGAGAGAGAGACCAGUCACUCCCACUUCAUCGACAGAAGCUUCCUUAAAAAGACACCCCAUAGAGACAGACCGGAGAGCUGUCAUUCUCGCAUCCACUAUAGCAACUCCCUCAAAUAGAGAGCCCAGACAAAAAGUUCUACGCCUGACUGCUCCCUCUACACUCCACCUUCCCCCAGAGCAUUCCUGGGACUCUCACAUGUUCUAGAUUUUUAUAAAUGUUUUACUUACAAUGGAAUUCUAAAAGUAAUUAAAGUGUAAAUAUUUGCAUUAUAUUAAUAUACAUUUGACUUGGAAGGCCAUUUUGUAGUUGCAAAUGACAGUUGUACACAUUCCAAGUGAUUUUACAAGUCUGUUUAUAUGAAACCAUGUUUUAAAGAAUGAAUCAGCUGUGUUUCUAAUGGUUGUUAAGAACAAUCUCUUUGUUUUGUGAUAGUUAGUCUAUUGACCUCUUUCUGCUUGUCUACUGCAGUGGUUCCCAAUCAGAGGUACGAGACCCCUGGGGGUACUUGGUCUAUCUACAGGGGGUACUUGAGACGACUCAUGAGACCAUAGGCCUACUGGUCAAAUGCACAUGAGGGGUACUUCAGGGGUACUUAAGGCAGAGCAAAAUUCAGUUGGUGGUUCAGUAACCAAAAAAGGUUCGUAACCACUUGUCUACUGAGUUUUCUUCCUGACAAAAUAAGCCAUAUAUUUGUAUCUGAUCUUAAACAGCACCGCAGUGACUCUAGUGACUCCUGCUGAAAUCUGACGCAGUAGAUUUUUUUCUCUUCAGUUUUAUGUUUGAGCUUAUCUUGAAUUGAUUUAACACCUGAUUUACUUAACAAAAGGCACAUCUCAAUAGGUGGUCCAGGUAUCCUCAUGACAUGGGUCAAGUGAGGCCCUAGCUAGAGCUCAGUAUUACUUUUCCAGAUCACUUUGAUUUUAGAUGCAGAUUGUUCAAUACUUUUUCAUAUUUGUCUCUUACGAAGAAAUAAAAGUAAGAGGGGGAUUGGAAGCAUAGCAUGUCUCCCUUAUUUUGAGUACAUUUUGCACAGACACUUGUUCAUAUGUAAAUAUUUUACCUAAAGUGUUUAACUGCAAUGGUUUUGUUUAGGAUUGGAAGAGAAUAAACCCCUUCAAUAAAAGUGGAAAAAAUAUUUAUUCCUUGCCAUAUCUUAUACAAGUACUUGGGAGUAUGUCUAGAUGGUGCACUGUCCUUCUCUCAGCACAUACCAAAGCUGCAGGCUAAAGUUAAAUCUAGAUUUGGUUUCCUCUAUCGUAAUCCCUCUUUCACACCAGCUGCCAAACUAACCCUGAUUCAGAUGACUGUCCUACCCAUACUAGAUUACAAAGACAUAAUUUAUAGAUUGGCAUGUAAGGGUGCUCUCGAGCGGCUAGAUGUUCUUUAGGGGGCCUUCAGGUUUGCCACCAAUGCUCCUUAUAGGACACAUCGCUGCACUCCUCUGUAAACUUUUAUUUUACUAGGCAAGUAAGUUAAGAACAAAUUCUUAUUUCCAAUGACGGCCUAGUGGGUUCAGGGGAACAACAGAUUUUGUACCUUGUCAGCUCGGGGAUUUGAACUUCCAACCUUUCGGUUACUAGUCCAAUGCUCUAACCACUAGGCUACCCUGCCGCCCCUGGUCGUCUCUGUAUACCCGUCGCAAGACACACUGGUUUAUGCUUAUUUUUAAAACCCUCUUAGGCCUCACUCCCCCUAUCUGAGAUAUCUACUGCAGCCUCAUCCUCCACAUACAACACCUGUUCUGCCAGUCACAUUCUGCUAAAGGUCCCCAAAGCACACACAUCCCUGGGUCGCUCCUCUUUUCGGUUCGCUGCAGCUAGCAACUGGAACGAGCUGCAACAAACACUCAAACUGGACAGUUUUAUCUCAAUCUUUUCAUUGAAAGACUCAAUCAUGGACACUCUUACUGACAGUUGUGGCUGCUUUGUGUGAUGUAUUGUUGUCUCUACCUUCUUGACCUUUGUGCUGUUGUCUGUGCCCAAUAAUGUUUGUACCAU